UACGAAGGGGGCUAGCGUUGUUCGGAAUCACUGGGCGUAAAGGGCGCGUAGGCGGCCGAUCAAGUCGGGGGUGAAAUCCCGGGGCUCAACCUCGGAACUGCCUUUGAUACUGCAAAUCUCGAGUCCGGAAGAGGUGAGUGGAAUUCCUAGUGUAGAGGUGAAAUUCGUAGAUAUUAGGAAGAACACCAGUGGCGAAGGCGGCUCACUGGUCCGGUACUGACGCUGAGGUGCGAAAGCGUGGGGAGCAAACAGG
rnacentral:rRNA from 1 species